rnacentral:rRNA from 1 species
AAGUGGAGCAAUCCAUGAGUAAAGUGGCGACCGGGUGAGUAACACGUGACUAACCUACCCUCGAGUGUGGAAUAACAUCGGGAAACCGAUGCUAAUACCGCAUAACAUCGCAAGAUCAAAGGAGUAAUCCGCUUGAGGAGGGGGUCGCGGCUGAUUAGCUAGUUGGCGGGGUAACGGCCCACCAAGGCGAAGAUCGGUAUCCGGCCUGAGAGGGCGCACGGACACACUGGAACUGAAACACGGUCCAGACUCCUACGGGAGGCAGCAGUGGGGAAUUUUGCGCAAUGGGGGAAACCCUGACGCAGCAACGCCGCGUGGAGGAUGAAGCCCCUUGGG